rnacentral:rRNA from 1 species
AGUGAACGCUGGCGGUAGGCCUAACACAUGCAAGUCGAACGGCAGCACAGUAAGAGCUUGCUCUUACGGGUGGCGAGUGGCGGACGGGUGAGGAAUACAUCGGAAUCUACUUUUUCGUGGGAGAUAACGUAGGGAAACUUACGCUAAUACCGCAUACGACCUACGGCUGAAAGCAGGGGAUCUUCGGACCUUGCGCGAUUGAAUGAGCCGAUGUCGGAUUAGCUAGUUGGCGGGGUAAAGGCCCACCAAGGCGACGAUACGUAGCUGGUCUGAGAGGAUGAUCAGCCACACUGGAACUGAGACACGGUCCAGACUCCUACGGGAGGCAGCAGUGGGGAAUAUUGGACAAUGGGCGCAAGCCUGAUCCAGCCAUGCCGCGUGGGUGAAGAAGGCCUUCGGGUUGUAAAGCCCUUUUGUUGGGAAAGAAAAGCUGCAGGUUAAUAUCCCGCUGUUCUGACGGUACCCAAAGAAUAAGCACCGGCUAACUUCGUG